GAUGAACGCUGGCGGCGUGCCUAAUACAUGCAAGUCGAGCGAACGGACGAGAAGCUUGCUCCUCUGAUGUUAGCGGCGGACGGGUGAGUAACACGUGGAUAACCUACUUAUAAGACUGGGAGAACUUCGGGAAACCGGUGCUAAUAACGGAUAAUAUUUUGAACGGCAUGGAUCAAAAGUGAAAGACGGUCUUGCUGUCACUAAUAGAUGGAUCCGCGCUGCAUUAGCUAGUUGGUAAGGUAACGGCUUACCAAGGCAACGAUGCAUAGCCGACCUGAGAGGGUGAUCGGCCACACUGGAACUGAGACACGGUCCAGACUCCUACGGGAGGCAGCAGUAGGGAAUCUUCCGCAAUGGGCGAAAGCCUGACGGAGCCACGCCGCGUGAGUGAUGAAGGUCUUCGGAUCGUAAAACUCUGUUAUUAGGGAAGAACAUAUGUGUAAGUAACUGUGCACAUCUUGACGGUACCUAAUCAGAAAGCCACGGCUAACUACGUG
rnacentral:rRNA from 1 species